UGCCAGCAGCCGCGGUAAUACGGGGGGUGCAAGCGUUAAUCGGAAUUACUGGGCGUAAGAGCGCGCGUAGGCGGUUUGAUCAGUCGGAUGUGAAAGCCCUGGGCUCAACCUGGGAAUGGCAUUCGAUACUGUCAGGCUAGAAUGUGGAAGAGGGAAGUGGAAUUUCCGGUGUAGCGGUGAAAUGCGUAGAUAUCGGAAGGAACACCAGUGGCGAAGGCGGCUCACUGGGCCGAUACUGACGCUGAGGAGCGAAAGCGUGGGGAGCAAACAGGAUUAGAUA
rnacentral:rRNA from 1 species